UAGAUAUUAGUAAAAACAUUACAUAACUUUGUCAAAGUUAAAUUACUGGUUUAAUUCCUGUAUAUCUCU
rnacentral:tRNA from 1 species